UGAGGAAUAUUGGUCAAUGGGCGAGAGCCUGAACCAGCCGAGUAGCGUGCAGGAUGACGGCCCUAUGGGUUGUAAACUGCUUUUAUGCGGGGAUAAAGUGCGUGACGUGUCAUGCAUUGCAGGUACCGCAUGAAUAAGGACCGGCUAAUUCCGUGCCAGCAGCCGCGGUAAUACGGAAGGUCCGGGCGUUAUCCGGAUUUAUUGGGUUUAAAGGGAGCGUAGGCCGCCAGAUAAGCGUGUUGUGAAAUGUACCGGCUCAACCGGUGAAUUGCAGCGCGAACUGUUUGGCUUGAGUGCACGGUAAGCAGGCGGAAUUCAUGGUGUAGCGGUGAAAUGCUUAGAUAUCAUGAAGAACUCCGAUUGCGAAGGCAGCUUACGGGAGCGCAACUGACGCUGAAGCUCGAAGGUGCGGGUAUCGAACAGG
rnacentral:rRNA from 1 species